UACGUAGGUGGCAAGCGUUGUCCGGAUUUAUUGGGCGUAAAGCGCGCGCAGGCGGUCUCUUAAGUCUGAUGUGAAAUCUCGUGGCUCAACCAUGAGCGGUCAUUGGAAACUGAGAGACUUGAGUGCAGAAGAGAAGAGCGGAAUUCCACGUGUAGCGGUGAAAUGCGUAGAGAUGUGGAGGAACACCAGUGGCGAAGGCGGCUCUUUGGUCUGUAACUGACGCUGAGGCGCGAAAAGCCGUGGGGAGCAAACAGG
rnacentral:rRNA from 1 species